ACCGGGCCAUAGAGAGACUCCACUCAUCUUACUAGAAGAAGACCAAUCAAAACCCCCUUUUGGGUUUAUACUUUCCGAUUCUCCAACCCAAUUGAAGCUUGUUAGCAAUCGUGAGCUUAGCACCCUUCAACGACGCCGUUCCAACCCACAUGUGUUCGCUUCAGCGGCGGAGCUCCCUCCCUAUGGGCCAGGUUGUUUUAUGAAGCAAGAUAUCUAACAUUGCUGGAGGAGGUACUAGAUAUUAUCCUGCAUCUUUAUGUAUUCUUGAAGGGUCUUGCAUAUGUUAAUGAAGGUUGAGCGAUUAGAUGUCGGAGCCUUACUCUCUAUCAGAGGUGUAGGUCGUGUCACAAUUGUGAAAUUUGUGCAGGGAACCUCAUACACCCACCAGUUUUCCUAAAGGGCACAUUGUUCCUUCUUGGUAUCCUUGACCAUGGUUUGCACGAAGGUUAAGUAUGAAUUGAUUGCUGAUGAACGUGCACGGAGGCAGACAUUUCGGAAAAGGAAGGCUGGAUUAUUGAAGAAGGACAAUGUUCCUUAGCAUGAAAGCAAAAUAAGGUCUAAAGCUAUGGAACUAAAGGAAGCUCUUUACAGUUUGAACAGCUUGGAAAUAAAGUUAAAGGUGUUGUCUCUCUCUAUCUGACCAUGUAUGCAUAUGCUUCUUCUUUUGUUUGUAUGUCUGUUUUCUGGUAAAAUAUGCCAUUCAACUCAACAAUCCUUGAUUCUACACAUUUGGAUUCUCUCGUGUUCUUUCUUUCUUUGUUUGUUUUUUGUUAGGUCAAUAGGACUUGGGCUUACAAAUUUCGUAGAAACAAACUGAAGUUUGCGACUAUAAUUUCUAGCAUGGAUUAGAAAUUUCAAAAGUUAGUUGGUGCACUUGGUUGAAGAAGGAAUUUCAAACUACAUUCAAGGGUACAAACAUAAUCUUCUUUCCCAAGGGUAAAAGUUUAUUUUAACACUUUGAUGUACUCACCAAAUUAUGGUUCAUGCAUACAUAAUUAGGGUUUCAAAGUUUUACAUGACUUGCUUUUAUUUGAUUCCCUAAAUCAUUGAAAACAUGAUAAAAGUGUUUUUGAAAAUUUCCUUUCAGUUUUUAUUUUAAAAAAAUAUAUAUAAAACAGUCAGUAGACUUCGAUUGAUCGAGUUUUCUAUCAAGGGUCACUAGAGUCAUGUCAAUUGAUCGGCGUGUAUUUUGAUCGAUCAAACCAUGCGGAAAAUCAAUUUCCAUUCUGGUCUAAAACACUUCCCACUCUAUUCUAUCUAUACUUCUGUUUUGCCCAUUUAUAUACCAGGUUAGGGCAGAAUACAUAUCAGUUCAUAUACACAGAGCUAUAUUGUGAGUUCCAGAGUUGCAUCAAUAUUUUUGUUUUUCUUUCAUUAUACUUACUUUUGGGGAGUUUUUUUCAAUUGUGUGUUGACAUCUUCGCUGCGGACUACUACUGAAGAGUUCAACAAUCCACAACUCAAAGAUUGAAGUGGGACUACUUGUGGUUGAGACUGAAUCAUUGGUAGAGAAGCAAAUUUGUGAGAAGCGAAGUCUGUUGACAAGUGGAUCAUGUGUCUGGAGAGUUAAAGUAGAUUUGGUGGGCCAAUCUAUGUCAAGGAGGCACCCAAGGAGGUAUUGUUGCAGACUCAAAUUGCAGAUGCUCUAAUGUGGGCUAAGAAGGAUCCCUCCCUAGAUUGUGAUGUAUUUUUCAUUCCAAUUCUUUGCCGAGCGUGUAUGCUUUGCAGCACUCCAACCUGUUUCAGAGCUAAAGAUUUCAACACAAUAAUCAAUCCAUCAUCAGAGAUUGAACAAGAGGACUAGUGGCUGAGACUGGAUCGCUGGUGGAGAAGCAAAUUCUUGAAGAGCGAAGUUUGUUGACGAACGGAUCGUGUGCAUGGAAACUCGAGAAGAGUUUGGUGGAUCGAUCUCUAUCAAGUUCCUCUGUCAUGCUUACGACACUGAUUGUCAUUUUACAAUCAUUGGUUGAAGUGUGGAGUUCCCACAGUCAAUGAACCAUUGGUUGCUGUUGGCCCUGCCAGAAGUUGAGGCAUCAUGAUGACAACUCCUUGUGAAAUGGAUCAACUCAAUCAGAAUUGCUCACGUUGUGAAAAGAGAAGUUAAGAGCAAUGGAUGUCAAAAACACGUUAGAACAGCUAGAUAUUUUGACAUAAUUUGUAAAGAAGAAUAUUUCCAUGGUUGCAGCCAAGCUCGCUAUUCAAUCGUUAGGGACACAAUGAGCAGUGAAAUUCUGAAGCCGGCCUUCUGGUGUCGAAAACCCUAAUAGAGAAGAUCAUAGCAUCAUUCAAAUUCAUGCUCAACCAUGUCCUCUAGUAUUCUGUAGGAAUGGUUAGAAUUCCAUUUUCACAUGGAUAAACAAGUGUAACAAAUCAAAAUUAUUUGAGUUCUUUUGUGUGAUCAUGUGGUAUAAGUGCUUUGAUAAAUUCUGCAGUCCAGUUUGUACCUUAAAUGAAUCAUUUUCUCUAUGAAGUAUGAAGAAGAGACAGGUAGAAUUGAUUAUAUUAUUACUAA